AUUGAACGCUGGCGGCAGGCCUAACACAUGCAAGUCGCGCGGAUGAAGGGAGCUUGCUCCUGGAUUCAGCGGCGGACGGGUGAGUAAUGCCUAGGAAUCUGCCUGGUAGUGGGGGAUAACGUCCGGAAACGGGCGCUAAUACCGCAUACGUCCUGAGGGAGAAAGUGGGGGAUCUUCGGACCUCACGCUAUCAGAUGAGCCUAGGUCGGAUUAGCUAGUUGGUGGGGUAAAGGCCUACCAAGGCGACGAUCCGUAACUGGUCUGAGAGGAUGAUCAGUCACACUGGAACUGAGACACGGUCCAGGCUCCUACUGGCGGCAGCCGUGGGGAUUCUUGCUCGAAUGUGGAAAGCCUGAACGAACCGUGUCGGGCGUGUGAAGAAGGUCGGCGGAUUGUAGUGCGCGCUACGGUGGGAGGAAGAGCAGUAUGUUAAUACCCAGACGCAGGGACGUGAUCAACAGAUUAGGAGCUGGCUAAUUGCAUG
rnacentral:rRNA from 1 species